UACAGAGGGGCAAGCGUUGUUCGGAAUUACUUGGGCGGUAAAGGGCGCGUAGGCGGCCUUCUAAGUCGAACGUGAAAUCCCCGGGCUCAACCUGGGGCUGCGCUUGAUACUGGAUGCUUGAAUCCGGGAGAGGGAUGCAGAAUUCCAGGUGUAGCGGUGAAAUGCGUAGAUAUCUGGAGGAAUACCGGUGGCGAAGGCGGCAUCUGGACCGGCAUUGACGCUGAGUGAGCGAAAGCCAGGGGAGCAAACGGG
rnacentral:rRNA from 1 species